GUUUGGCGGGUCUUUGUCUCUUGCUGGCGCUGGCACAGGAACUUGGGAUCCGUCUCCUCUUUCGCCUCCUCCGCUUUGGGAGCCCCGGGCUACUCUUUCACAGCCCCUGUUGCCCUGUGAUCUGUAGGUCCUUGGGGACGCACAGUUAAGAUGACAGGACAUCCUGGAAGCUGGGAAAUGAUUUCUUCCAGACCUUGGCUGGAGAAGGAAAGAAGAUUUUUGCAGUGGCAGGACCAAGUUCAAAUGAGUCAUAGCCAAGUUUACAGUAAGAUGUGGUAGUAUUCUGUUUUGAACCGAGGACCAUGAUUGGCAAGCUUGCCACUUGGUCAAGUGCUUACCCUCUAAAGAUGUCUUCCUUGGUCUUUGCCUCCAGCUGGGUGUCACAAACUCUGAACUGGAUUCUAAGGCUUUCAUGAAUGCACUUAUGUUUCCCGUGGCAGCUGCAUUAUGUUGUGGGGGAUGUGCAUGCCGAACCUCCCAUUCUGUCGUCUUGCUUAUGUUACUCUCCUUUAUGUUUCACUUUCUCAAAUGAAUGUCAAGCUGGUGAUUUUUAGAUUCAAAAAUUCUAAAAUAAAUUGCUCAAAUUUCCACAUUAUGUAAGCUAUUAAUAAAAUGUCUUGUAGGUGCUACAUAUUUAUUAAAAUUUUUGGUUGUAAUUUUAAGCUCACUGCAGGCAGAAAGGAAUCAUUAACAUUUAUAUUCUUUUUUUUAGUCUGUAUCUAAAUGAUGGUAUAUUUUAAUUCCAGAUAUUUACUUUAUACUGCAGUAAUGCUCGUCAUAUUUUGCAAAAUUUAUGUUGUUCUUUUAUUUGGAAAUAUAAGGCUUUUUUAGCUCUUGAAAUCUAUAUUAUAGUCAUAUAAUUUUAUUAUGUUUUGUGGUAAGAAGUGCAGCAACAUAUUGAGAACAUAAUAAAAUUAUCCUGUAUUUUUAAUGAUUAUUUAUUAAAUUCCUCUCAUUAGAGCCUGUUAUUAAUGAUUGUAAUGUAUUUUCUGUAUAAUUUUACUGCAAUUUAUUAAAUUCUAAUGACUUAAA
rnacentral:lncRNA from 1 species